CAGAAGAGGUGGUUCCACAGAUAGCAGCGUUUGACCAGGAAUUCGUAUCCACAGUGACCUUCUAAAGCACAAGAUGCUAAUGUCUACUAACAUCAGCAAAUGCGUCCAUCACGCUUUUGUUUAUAUUUGUGCCCUCAACCAAACAGACAACCUCUCAGAAUGGAUUCCUUAUUAUGAAAAAAUCUGGAAACGUCUGGCUGACUGAAAUCUCUUUCUACAAGAAAACACAGACCCAGAGAGCCUGACUAAAUGACAGUUGAUUUGGGGGCUGUUGCUAGGAAAGAACUUCCUCCCA
rnacentral:lncRNA from 1 species